AUAAAUAAUGGUCCUAAGCAAAGAGCCCCUUCAGCUCUCAGGAUGGCAGCAGGCUGUGAUCCUUGAUCUUCCCUGGGCUGGAACCAUUAUCUGGGAUCUCAAGAUUCACCACUGACAUCGACAAAGCAGAACCCUCUGCUGCAGACCCUGACCAUCCACUAAGAGCUGCCAAAAAAGAAUGAGAAAUAUCAGGCGUUCCAGAGAGUCAAGAAAGAUGGAGAUUAUCGAUGGUGGGAAGUCCUGCUUGGAUGGUCUUCUAUAACAACGGAGGCACUGAACAUAAUGCUGCAUCUCAUUGUGAUUUUACUACUUCUGGUGAUAUUUUGUUUGUUGUUAACUCUUGCUUUACACAUCAAGGUCUGGAGAAUGGCUAGACAAGUUGUGCUGCUGAAAGGACUCCCCUGAGUGUACUACAUUCCCUAAAUUUUCAAUUCAUAUGAUUGGUCAUGUAAAAAUAAAUAAAUAAGCAUUGUACAUUUAUAAGCAUAAAGACAUGAGGUGAUCACACCAUCACCCUGAUGGAGAAAAAGACUGGCUUUAGUUAUGGGGUGACCUGUGGUGGUGCAGAACACCUGCAGUCUCCGAGUAAGCCUCUACAGUGUUUUUGCCUUUGUGCAAGUGCAGUGAGCUGGGACGUUCAGGCACUCCCUAAUCAUACCUGCAAUUCUUGCUCCUUGAAUCAUGGCCUGAUCUGAGAGGAGCCAAGACUGUACUGUCUGGGAGUACGGGAACUGUAUGGCUGGGAGAAAUUUCCAAAAUUGCCUCAGCUGGAUUGUGGCCUGAAGGAAAAGUUUUCUGACUAACAUCAGUUAUCUGCAGUCCUAUAAAUAAUGUUACUAAUCAAAGAGCCCCUUUGAGCUCUCAGGUUGGCAGCAGGCUGUGAUCCUUGAUCUCCCCUGGGCUGAGACACCUCUCAGGGUAGGCAUUUCGAGAUUCACCUCUGAUAGACACCAAUGAAAGAGAGCCCUCUUAGGGGCAGAUCCCAAUUGUUCACUGAGAGCUGGUAAAUGGAAAGAGUGAGUAGGUCAGUGGGGGGAAGAAAGUCCUCAAAUAAGUAGCUGAGUUGAAAAAUGUCCUCUCCAAUACCCUACAAUAAGUCUCAUGUGAACCUUGCCAUUCCCAAAUCUUUUACUAAGUCAUUGUAUUUGAUUGUAGUAAAUUCAAUUGGAUUACUCUGUUAAAUUGGCUGAUAAUUAAGUGCUGAUUAAGUGCCACAAAGAAUCAUACAAUCUAAUCUUGUGAUUUAUCAUAGAAAUAUUAAUAAAUCCCAAAUUGCUCCUAAACCAGAGUUGAUGAAAAAUCUAUUCACAACGAGUUUGAAUGCAAUCUACUUAGGGCUUCAUGUUAGCAUUUCCAGUUUUGGUUCCCAUGCUAUUAUUCAGGUCAACAACAUAUUUCUAAAAUCUCUAAUGAAACAAAAAAGGGAGAAUGAACAGCAUUCCUUGAUCCAGCAAUAAAACUACCCCAUGCACAGCAACUUUCUGAAUCUCUGUCCAAAUAUUCACAGUUUGUUCCCAGUACCUCUUAGAGGUAUUCAUUCAUUUUCCACAUCCACUUGCACUCAGAGUAAGUACAUCUUGAUUCUCUAAAGAAUUUGUGUUCUUGUUAUUAUUUUUUAACUGAUUACACCGAACUACAAUCUUUGAAAUUUGCAGGCAAAGAUGACAAAAGAUGAAUGUUAUGGCUGAACUCCAGAGGGUUUCAAGUACGUUUCUAAUACGUUUAACUCAGUAAAGGUAUUUUUUCUCAGUGGCUGGCUUACUCAAACUGAGAAGAGCUUUUUCUGCUAUCUUCUUGUUUGUCAAAUAUAUAUAAACUCAAGAGCCCUGUAGCACAAUAUUUGAGCUUUUUCCCUGCACUGAAUUCAGAAGCAACAGCUGAUUGAGAAAAAUCAGCAGAAUUGCUAUAGCAGAAAAAAAAACUUACGAAAUCUGUAAGCAAACAACCACAUCCCUUCACCCCAAAUAGUAACCUGAAACAGAUACAUAACUGUGUCAAAGAAGAAAAACACCUCGUUUAAAUUACGUCUUUAAAACACAUGACAAGAUCCUAAGAGCUUAGCACGCCUAAAAUAUGCCAGAACUGCAUUUGUACAUAUAUUCCUUUAAAAAUCCGCUUACCUCUCCCACAACUUCAAUGAUGUCACCAACUUUUAAUUCCAGUUCAUCCUCAUUUUGAGGCAAAUAACUGUAAGCCACCUGACAUCUUCUUCGUCUGUUCCUCUCUCCUAGUGAAAAUUAAGGAAAUGAGAAAAUCGUAAAAUGAAAGCAAAAUUUCAUAUCAAACACAAGCCAUGCAAAUUGAUUCAAGAUGAAAAAUAAUUAUUAUAUAUCAAAAUAAUUUCAGUAUUUGCAAUACUUAAGUCUAUCCAUCUAGAAUUAGUUUAUCAAAAGAUGGUGGAGGAAAGGUUUCUGAGAUUAUUUAUUUCAACUAUUUUUAUAAUCUGAUUCAAUUAAAAAUGCCUCAUCCGAGUGAAAAUAAAUUGUGGUAACUUUUUUUUCCCUUCUGUGAUAUUACUCAACAGUCAAAAUUUAACCAAUAGAUAGAUAAUUCCUAGUGACAAGAUGAGCAAACUUCAUCCAGAGUAUCUCUUCAGGUGCAUUUGCUAAAAUGUAGAUUCUUGGCUAAUGCUCUAUACAAAUGGUGCAGGUAGCUCCAGAAACUGAGUGGGUAGGGGAAAGACUGCAGAACUUUGUGUGGCUUUUGUUCAUACAGAAACACAGUCUCAACAGAUUGCUUCAUCUUGUAUCCUUAGUUUUCCAUAAUUCUCUCACAGGUGUAAAUGUAUCCGAUGAACCUUUUUUUAAAAAAUAUAUAUUCUUUUUUCUACAUAUAUAUACAUACGUAUGCAUGUAUAUGUAUUUAUACACACAUUUUUGAACUGUAUGUUCAUGAAUUAAUAUUAUCAUAAAAUCAUAGAAUGGCUUGGAUUGGAAGGGACGUCAAAGAUGAUCUAGUUCCAACUCCCCUGCCGUGGGCAGGGUUGCCAACCACGAUAUUAGACUGCCCAGAAACCCAUCAAGCCUGGCCUUGAACAUCUCCAGGGAUGGGGCAUCCACAGCUUCUCUGGGCAGCCUGUGCCAGUGCCUCACCACCCUCUGAGUAAAGAAAACACAAGGAAAGCUCAUCCCAAGGCUCUCCUCACCCUUAGAGAAGGGUUAGUGUGGUUAAGGUAGGUCAAUAUUGAUAAUCAACCAGCCACUGGAAAUGACUUUACCAGCCAGAUUUCUCUCCAGCUUAGAUGUCCAGGCUCCCAUGAGAAAUAGGUAUGCACUUUUGGAUGGAAGGCUGCAGACAGGCUUGAAUUCAUAGCUCUGAAUGAGACCCUUGAUUUGACCCUUGUGCCAUCACAGUUUGAAGACAUAAAUGAAAAGAUCAGUUUUAUAAUAUUGUUUGCCAAAUCUACUGGCAUACACUUAAGUUACAGUUGUAUGAUUUGUAGCAGAGUGGAGACACACUGGAAAGAAUCCAACAUACAACCACGAAGAUACUGAAGGGACAGGAGCAUCUCUCCUGUGAGGAGAAGCUGUGAGAGCUGGGGCUCUUCAGCCUGGAGAAGAGGAGGCUCUAGAGGAUGUAAUGAACGUGUAUAAAUACUUGAAGGGAGGGUUCACAGAGGGUGGAUCCAGGCUUCUUUUAGUGAUGCCCAGAACAAGGACCGAGGCAAUGGGCACAAGCUGAAAGCAGGAGGUUCCCUCUGAACACCAGGCAGCACUUCUGUGCUGUGCAGGUAAUGGAGCACUGGCCCAGGCUGCCCAGAGGCUGUGCAGUCUCCUCCUUGGAGAGCUCCAAGGAGGCCAGCUAGACGUGGGCAUGGCACCCUGCUCUGGGUGUGCUGUUGGGGCAGGGGCUGGGCCUGAUGGACACAGAGGGCUCUUCCAGACUCAGCCAUGCUGUCAUUCUGUAAUUUAAGCACAUGUAUACACACAAACACAUACAUGCUCUACCCAAGUAACCGUGCUUUUCUCUUAUGCUAUUUCUCUUAACUGUUAAAUACACUCAAUUCACACCAACGUAAGUUGUAUAAACACUGCCUAAAACGGCUUUAAAUUAAAAAAAAGAAGGAUCACAUGGUUAGCGAUUACUUCCCUUUCAAUAAUUCUAGAUAAUACUACUCUAGAGAGAAUGGCUAGGAACAAGUUACAGAACUUUUUUCUAAAACCUAUUAAUUAAGCCAGGCAAAAGAUGGAGAAGGGAUGCCAUUAAAUUUGGUUAAGUGCACUAUGACAGUAUUUUUCACAGCUACAGAAAUUCUGAAUGAGUGGCAAGUUUUGAAUGAUAAAAUUAAUCAUAGAAUCAUAGAACCCUUAGAGUUGGAAGGGACCUUUAAAAGUCAUCUAGUCCAACUCCCAAUAAUAAUAGCUUAAUGCAAUAUAACCCUACUUGCUCAAACUGGCUUUUUUUCUCCGCCUACAGAUGAUUGAUCAUUCUUCACCAUCGAAACUAAAAUGGACCUAAAUUGACAACUGUACACAGCCACCUUCAGAAUAACUUAAAUAAAAUAAAUAUCUUCCAUA